CACAGUGAGCGAACCCUAACACUUCGAUAGAGAGUCGGAAGAAGGGAGGAAAAGAACGCGGUCUCGUCCGACAGCAAGUCAUGUGUGGUUCCCUCGUAAUCCACGCCCACCCAUCCGUCCCUCUUCGUUCGACGACAAACCGAGCCGAUUCGGGCCUCCUCCUACUCCCCCCAAAACGCAGACUCCGCCCUCGGCCGCUAAACCCAUGGCUACAACGGUGACGACGGCGACGGUAGCGUCUUCCUCCUCCUAUGUGGCCUCCAUCUCUCGGGUCCUCUGCAGAGACAGUGGAUCUCAGUCGCGACACGCCAUGGCCGCCAAGUGCUGCUCCUUCUCGUCAUAUAUUGCCCGUUGCGUCCCCCAACCCCCUCAUGCUUUGGGAAGUGGGUCACCGAUGCCGAAUGGAGGAAGAGGAAGGAACGAGGCGGUUGCUUGCUCGAUGGCGUCGCCCAUCAUCCCGGUUUUGAGGAGUCGACAAGUUUUGUGUAAAGCUGAAGCAAAUGCUUCUGGGGAUUUUCCAAAUAAUCCUGUGGCUGAAAUGAGCCAGUAUGAGAGUAUAGUUGAACUACUUACGACUCUUUUCCCUGUUUGGGUCAUACUAGGGACUAUUAUUGGCAUAUACAAGCCAUCUAUGGUUACCUGGCUGGAGACAGACCUUUUCACUGUAGGUUUGGGAUUCCUGAUGCUAUCCAUGGGUUUGACGCUUACAUUUGAGGAUUUCAGAAGAUGCUUGAGAAACCCAUGGACAGUAGGCGUAGGAUUCCUUGCACAAUAUUUAAUUAAACCUUUGCUAGGCUUUGCGAUUGCUAUGACACUGAAAUUAUCGGCUCCUCUUGCAACUGGUCUUAUUCUGGUAUCAUGUUGUCCUGGAGGCCAAGCAUCCAAUGUUGCGACUUAUAUAUCCAAAGGAAAUGUCGCACUUUCAGUCCUUAUGACAACUUGUUCGACAAUUGGUGCUAUAGUCAUGACACCCCUUCUUACUAAGCUCCUUGCCGGCCAGCUUGUUCCUGUUGAUGCAGCUGGAUUGGCCAUCAGUACUUUUCAGGUGGUUUUGGUGCCCACUAUUGUUGGAGUGUUGUCACAUGAGUAUUUCCCAAAGUUUACUGAGCGAAUAAUCACACUUACGCCACUGAUUGGAGUUAUCCUUACCACAUUGCUAUGUGCAAGCCCUAUUGGGCAAGUUGCAGUAGUCUUGAAGGCUCAAGGAGCACAACUUAUUAUUCCUGUAGCUCUCCUUCAUGCUGCAGCAUUUGCUCUUGGUUAUUGGUGUUCAAGAUUGUCAUCAUUCGGGGAAUCCACUUCUCGUACCAUUUCCAUAGAAUGCGGAAUGCAGAGUUCUGCUCUUGGAUUUUUGCUUGCCCAAAAACAUUUCACAAAUCCUCUCGUAGCUGUUCCUUCAGCUGUCAGUGUUGUCUUCAUGGCGUCAGCGCUUACGUACAUGUGUGCUGCCUAAAGUUGCUAAGGUGUUGUCUUUGAAUUGGUCUUUGUUCACGAUACGUCUAUUUUUGGCUGGCAAAGACAUGGCAACUGGGUUUUAACCUGGAAUUAGUGAAAAAAUGGUUAUUCUCGGAAUCUGACAUGAAAUUGUAGCAGAUCACAAUCUUUUAGUAGAAGAUAUCUGCUUGGUGGGAGUGCCCUAGCCGUGUUUUGGAGGAACAGGCCGAUUCCUGUGGAUGACAAGGAUGACUUCAAAGAAUGAGGUGAUUCUUGUUCUUUGGUUGCCAUUGAAAUCUCGAAGCUAUUACUGAGAGGUCAUAUUGGUAGAUGCAAAAGUAGGAUGUUUAAUCCCCGUGGAUUUUUUUUUUCUCUUUUUGUCGGAGAAUUUGUUUGGGUUUCUUGGUCUGCAGAAAUUUGAGCUAGCAUUAGUCUUUUA